UUACUCUGGUUUUUCUUCAACAUGUACAAAUCUUUCGCCUUUUACUAAAGAUUUCCGUGGAGAAGAGCAAUAACGAGUUUAUACUCAAUUUUUCGAGGCUCUGUUUUGGCAGAGCU
rfam:Alligator mississippiensis ScZkoYb_1476, whole genome shotgun sequence.